UACAAAAUGUGCUCUAGCCCUCAGUGCCCUAUGAUCAAGCACCAGAGCUGGGUUCAUUGCUCAACCCAGCGGCCGCAUGGAACUCAGAUUGAGCUGACCUCCAGCAGAACUCUGAUUUCCGCACUGCAAUGAGCAGACACGGAGAAUCAGGCAGGUCCCCCCAUGCAACAGCAGAAGAUACAAAAUCUCUCCACUUCCUCCACCCCUCCCACAAAAGAUGCUGCCUGGUCUGUUGAAUUGCUCCAGCAUCCUGUUUGUUCUUACGAUAAACUAUUCAAUUAAGACCACUUCAUAGUUGGGCUGCAUAUGACAGAAAUGUCCCUCAUUCUUUUCUACUGAGGACUCUGACCAGGACGCAUAGAGUUAGGAAACGGAUACUAAAGUCAGCGCAGGAAGAAUGUUUUAAUGUUCAUAUUUGGCCAUCUCUGCACCCACCUAGAAGAGACCCCAAUGACUUUAAUAGUUUCCCAUACUCUGUGAGAACACUGCACUGUAAGUCUGGUUAAUAAUGGCUGAUAAAUUAGAUGCAAAAGAUCUUAUAUUUAGACUCCUUUUCUUGCCAAUAAUUGUUUUAAUGGUAAAACACCCACUGAAAUUUUG